GACGUCAUAAGGAGUGCGCUGUUGCUCGUCUUUCGGUUGAGGGAAGAUUGAUGUUGUUGUGUGAGUUCAUCUAUAAAUACUGUGAAGAAGUCAAACAAGCAGCUGCUGCACAACACAUUCAACUACUCUACUAUUCUGAUCCACUGUUGUAAUGAUGGAGUGUGUUAAAGAGGAGACUGAUCCUGAAUCAUUCACAAUAACACCUCAACAUACUAAACAACAAAGAGACUUUGUGGAAGUAAAUGAUGAAGGUCAAGAACACAAUGAAGUAAAGGAUAAACAUCAGGACCACAAUUUUAUGACUGACAGCUGCUUAGAAACUGAUGAGAAUUCCCCUCAAGAAAGUACUAAAGAAAAAAAUGUUUUCGCAUGCCAUCUUUGUGGUAAGACUUUCUCGCUAAAAGGGCACCUAACACAUCAUCUAAAGAUUCACAGUGGUGAGAGGCCUCACGCAUGCUGCCACUGUGAGAAGACUUUUAUCCAAAGAUGUGAACUUAGGCGUCACAUGAUGAGUCACACAGGUGAGAGGCCCUUCGCCUGCCCUCAGUGUAAUAAAGGUUUCAUUAGUAAAGGAAGACUUAAUUAUCACAUAAAGACUCACAAUACUGCAAGGCCGUACAUCUGCCCUCAAUGUGGAAGGAGUUACACGUGUAAAGGAUAUCUUCAGCAGCAUAUGAUAACUCACCGUCAGACACAUGAGUCACAUAAGUUGUUUUUAUGCCCUCAGUGUGGAAAGAGUUUUUCACAGAAGAGAUACUUUAAUGAUCAUGUGAGACACCACACUAGUGAUAAGCCGUACACCUGCUCUCAUUGUGAAAAGAGUUUCUCAUGUAAAAAAAAUCUACAGAUUCACAUAAGAGUUCACACCGGAGAGAAACCUUUCAGGUGCCCUCAGUGUGAUAAGAGUUUUGCACAACAAGUACAGCUUAAGUGUCACAUACGAGUUCAUACAGGUGAGAAGCCUUACUCGUGCUAUCUGUGUGAUAAGAGUUUUACACAAAAAGAAAAUUUUAGGUGUCACAUACGACUUCAUACAGGUGAGAGACCUUUCUCAUGUCAUCUGUGUGAUAAAAGUUACACACGGGCAAAAGAUCUCCGAGUUCAUCUGCAGUUUCACUCGAACGACAGGCCGUUUAGCUGCGAUCAGUGCGAUAAGAAGUUUGUUUUGGCAUCUGUGCUUAAAAGGCACCAAGAGACUCAUUCAGAUGAGAGACCGUAUUUGUGUUCUGUUUGUGGGAAGAGUUUUCCAUCUCCCCAAAAACUUAAAGUGCACCAGAAAACACAUUCAGGUGUGAAAAAUCAUGUGUGCUCUGUGUGUGAUAAAGCUUUUCUGAGAGGCACAGACCUAAAGCGACACCAAAAGAUUCACUAAGGAAAGUGCUCACAUUGUUGAAAGAGUUUUAUUGCUGAUAAAACACAAGUGACUGUAUAUCUCACAGAGAAAAGUGCUGUCCACAAAAGUGUGAGCAAAGAUCAACUUCAGUCUUUUGUUCCAAGCACAUGGUUAUCCUUAGCAUUUUGUAAAUUAGCUGUCUGUAUUUUUGAAUGACCUGAGGUUGGAAUUAAACGGAUUUGAUGACGCUAAAAUAUUUGAUGAACUUAUAAGUUGAAAAUAGGAGGGCAUCUACAAAUGGAUAAUGAUCCUAAACGCAACUCAAAAUCCUUGAUGGACUUCCUCAUGAGGUACAAGCUGAAGUUUUCUCCAAAGCCCUCACAGUCUUCUGACCUAAACAUCAUAAAAAAUCUGUGAAUAGACCUCAAAAGAGCAAUGCGUGUAAGAUGGUUUAGGAAUCUCACAGAACUGGAAGACGUUUGUAAGGAAAAAUGAAAGAAUUGAAAGACUCUUUGCUACAGCCACUGAACAACCACUAGACCGAAAAUCCACUUCAUCCACCAGAUUGUUAUGAAGCUGACUCGAUCUGUUCUCCUCAGAUGCACUGAACUGUAACCCUCCACCCCCCAAUGCACACAUACUUAAUCACACAAUACACCAGUCACUUUUUAUAUAAAUGCUGCUAUCCUAACUGCACUACUAGGGAUGCAUCGAUACCGAUACUGGUAUCGGAUAUCGGCCUCAAUACCACAUUUUCUAAAGUACUCGUACUCGUUAAAAGUCCCCCGAUACCAGGGAUCGAUACCACGGUCUGAGAAAUGUUUAUGUUUGAGUGGCGUGUAAGGGGUUAAUUCUUGUGUUGUCCAAAGAGGCAGAGUUUACAACAAACUGGAAAACUAGUCCCUUGUUUUUUUGUUAAAUUAUAUGACUAAAGCUGUUACCUGUAAAUUUAAAUCAUGUUUUUUAUUAAGUACUCGGUAUCGGUAUCGGCAAGUACUGAAAUGCAAGUACUCGCACUCGUACUCGUAUUCCAAAAAAGUGGUAUCGGUGCAUCCCUAUGCACUACAAUGUAAAUAUACUGUACUUUUAUGUGUCUUUCAAUGUCUUUUUCUUCUUUUUAAACACUGUAUGGGUGAUUCUCACGAAAUCCAGACUUAAAGGUGUCCAGCAUCAGAUUUUUUUAAAAAGCCCUUGAAGCCAAUUUUUUUUGCAUAUAUAAGAUGAACUUACUAUAACCAUUAUUUUUAGAGGAUUUAAAACAUAUUUCCUAUAGAAUUUUUUUUUUUAGAUUAUCAUUAUAAAAGAUUAUCAUUACCGCAACAUGAUAUUACAUUAAAUAUAUGCAUUUACAAACUCAUGUUUCGGUAAUGAGAACUAAAAAGUUAACUAGGUACUAUAACAAACUAAAUUUCAACUUUUAUCUGGAGAGAGAAAAAGAACUGCUUACCUGGUAGCCAUCUUGAGUGUCACAGUCAAUUAUGUCCCUUCCAACAAUUAAAAAAAAAAAGUUAAUUCCUUGAGGGCUUAAACAGUGAUUGAAAAUUGUUGCAGAGGAGGAGAAAAUGGUCUUGGACACAUUUAUAUUCCUUCUUAUUGUCUCUACAUUUAACAAUGAUCACCAAAUACCACAUGUUUCUUUACUGUAAAUGUUUAUAUUAUAACAUGCACUGAAGCUUUUUAUUUAUUUUUAUUUUUUAUUAUAAAUAUUUCCAUGUCAAAGAACCCAAAUCCAGUCAUGGACACGUUGCGGUAAUGAAAAUGUUCCCCUUAAAUUUGGAAAAAACAACAGAAUUGGAUUGUAUGAUGUCAUUUGAAAUCAUGUACAUGAAGAGAUGUUUGUAACUGUAUGCUUCUUAUUUUGAUACUCUUACUUUGCGUUUACUUUUUUAAUCAAAAUGUUUCAUGACACCUUAUAAGUCUAAUUUCGCGAGAAUCAACCAUAUAUUAUUUCUAAUUUUUCUAAUAAUUUUGUGUUAUGUAAUGUUGUUGUUGUACAAUGCAGACUUGAACGUAAUUUCAAUACUAUGUAUGUCCUGUACAUAUGCAGAAUUGACAAUAAAGACAAUUAAGUUGACUUUUACAAGGGACUUUUAUUUUGCUUCUCGGAGCCCGUCGUGUGGUGAUGUCAUAAGGUGUGCGCUGCCGCUCGUCUGUCGUUGAUGAGAGACUGAGGUAUCUGUGAGCCCUAACCUGUUCUCAGAGCAACUCUCAUCCACUGUUGUAAUGAUGGAGUGUGUUAAAGAGGAGACUGAUCCUGAAUCAUUCACAAUAACACCUGAAGAACAAAGAGACUUGGUGGAAGCGGAAAGUCAAGAACGCAAUGAAAUGAGGAGUGUACAUCAGGACCACAAUUAUAUGACCCAUCAAGAAAGAGUUAAAGCCAAAAUUCUGUUUACAUGCCAUUUAUGUGAUAAGACUUUCUCACAAAAAGGGCACUUAACGUGUCACCUAAGGAUUCACACUGGUGAGAGGCCUUACCCGUGCCCCCAGUGUGAGAAGACUUUCGUCCAAAAAAGUCAUCUUAUGGAACACAUGAGGAGUCACAGAGAUGAGAGGCCUUUUGCCUGCCCUCAGUGUGAUAAAGGUUUCAUUAGUAAAGGAAGACUUAAUUAUCACAUAAAGACUCACAGUACUGAAAGGCCGUACGUCUGCCCUCAAUGUGGAAAGACUUACAUAUUUAAAGAAUCUCUUAAGAAGCAUAUGGUAAUUCACACUAACACAAAACCUUUCUCAUGCCCUCAGUGUGGAAAGAGGUUUUCACAUCAGAGAAGUUUUAAUGCUCACAUGAAAUGCCACAGUAGUAAUGGACCGUACACCUGCUCUCAUUGUGGAAAGAGUUUCCCAUGUAAAGCAAAUCUAGAGAAUCACAUACGAAUUCACACUGGAGAGAAACCUUUCACAUGCCCUCAGUGCGAUAAGAGUUUUAGGCAACAAAUACAACUUAGGUAUCACAUACGAAUUCAUACAGGUGAGAGGCCUUACUCGUGCCAUCUUUGUGAUAAGAGUUUUAGACAAAAAGACAAUCUUAAGCAUCACAUAAGGGUUCAUACAGGUGAGAGACCUUAUGCAUGCCAUCUGUGUGAUAAAAGUUACAUAUAUGCACAAGAUCUUAGAAAUCAUCUGCGCUAUCACUCGAAUGAAAGGCUGUUUAGUUGCGAUCAGUGCGAUAAGAAGUUUGUUUUGGCAUCUGUGCUUAAAGAUCACUUAAAGACGCAUUCAAAAGAGAAGCCGUAUCUUUGUUCUAUUUGUGGGAAGGGGUUUCAAUCACUCAAAAAUGUUAAUCAGCAUCAUAGGAGGCAUACACAUGUGAAAAGCCAUGUGUGCUCUGUGUGUGAUAAAGCCUUUCUGAGACCCGCAGAACUCAAGCAGCACCUAAAGAUCCACGAAAAAAAAUACUAAAAGUGCUCACAUUGUGUAAAGAGUUUUAUUGAGUUUGGGAAGCUGAUAAAACACAAGUGACUGUACAUCUCACAGAGAAAAGCACUGUCCACAAAGAGUGAGCAAAGAUCAACAUGGUUACCCCUCUUCCACUGGGACUCGCCCCGUGCUGCACUACAGCUUGAGCGAAUGCUGAUUGUAAUACGUCACCAGUGACCAGAAUUGUGCAGGGUUAUGUUAAACUGUAGUGUUUUAUAUUUUAUUACUAAGCAUUUUGUCACGUGGUUAUGUUAUAUUAUAUAAAGAGUUUAGAUGCAAACCCCCACUAAGUGCAUCUGGCAUGAUUUCUUGUUAAAAAGCAUUUUUAUCUUAUUGGAGUCUGCCCAAAAACAGUAUUUCUGCAUGUCCUGAGGGCGGGAUUAAACUAAUUUGACGCUAAAGUGUUUUACAAACGUAUAGUGCAGGUCUGGGAAGAGGUUUCGGAGCCUCCAGGCCUGAACCACCAGACUGAAAAACAGCUUUAUCUACCAGGCUCUUAUGAAAUUGAACUCUGUCAGAUGCACUAAACUGUAACCCCUCCACCCCAAAAUGCACACACACUUAAUCACACAAUACAUCAGUCACUUUUUAAUAAAUGUAUUGAAUUUUUUUACAUGUAAAUAAACUGUACUUCUAUGUGUCACAAUUCAUGUGUCAUUUUCUUCUUACUGUAUAUUAUUAUUUUUUUAUUUUUGUUUUUUGUAAUGUUGUUGUACAAUGCAGACUUUAGGGAACGUAAUUUCAGUACUCUAUAUGGG